UUCUGCUGCUCGCACCUGAAGAAUCUGCGCGUUACCGCCGGAACUGCCGCGGCGUCCAGAAGAGAGAAACUGCCCGACCUCGUUCUCCCUACUGUGCCGACGCGUCAGAGUGCUUGUGCUGCGAGAACUGUGCCGUGUGCGUGAAUGGUGUCACUUGUUCUAAACUGUUCAAAUGUACUUCUAAAGUGACCCGUGCACUUUCCCGCAGAGGUGCCAAAAUACUGACACAUUCCCUUACGCGCGACAGUUUUUUCGAAGAGCGCCUUGCCGAAACGAGAACAAUAUUCUCAUUUUACUGCGAACGGACGCCCGCAAGAAACUGCGUGUCUUGAGAAGUGAGCAGAUUUUUGUGACGGCGCGUGCGGUUUGUAAACAUAUCGAGCGAGCUCGGGAGGAGCAACAGGUGGGUGUGGCAGAGGCAGGUGCAAAAUAAUUCGCGGCUCGCGCCAUCCGAGAAGUGCCCAAGUGUCGGGAUCCAUGAAUCAGAACACGCAGUUGCUGGCAAGGCACUGACAGCUACAAUUAAUGCCUCUUUCCUACCCUCCUUCUUGAAAACUGUUAUUGACAUUCUUUGUUCGGAGUGAGUAAAGUUAAGUGGCGACUAUCGUGGCGGCGGAACGCAGAGUGAAUUGCCUCUUCAGAGCUGACAGUGUGGGAGGUCGUGGCGACACAGUGGAUCGGGUCUCGGCCAUUCACGGAGACCUCUGGCGACAUCGGAGCAGCAAUCUUCCCAUCAAGCGGACAUCCAGCGAUUGAGCAGAGUGUAAGAAGAUGUGCAUCGGUUGCCACCAGAGCUCCAUCCACCAGGAAGAGGGAAACCGUCGGCCCCUUAACUGAUUCCUGUUGACGAGUCAGUCAGCACGGCGAUUUUCUACGCCGUAAAG